rnacentral:miRNA from 1 species
AGGCUUGAAUUGUGAUCUCA